GAGGGUAUAGCUCAAGGGGUAGAGUAUAUGCUUAGUAUGUAUGAGGACAUGGGUUCAAUCCCCAAUACCUCCU
rnacentral:tRNA from 1 species